rnacentral:rRNA from 1 species
UCUAGUGAUGAUGGCAAAGAGGUCACACCUGUUCCCAUACCGAACACAGAAGUUAAGCUCUUUAGCGCCGAUGGUAGUUGGGGGUUUCCCCCUGUGAGAGUAGGACGUCGCUAGGC